rnacentral:rRNA from 1 species
AUGCAAACCGACUUCUACUCCGCAGGUAGCAUGGACCAUACAGGUGAUGAAUCAACGAAAGUGGCUCGCCGGUUGACACAACAGAUUACAGACGGUCUGGCCGAGCACCAAAGAGUUGGGAGUGAUGUAUUCGGAGCAGUUUAUCAGGAGGACUGGGACUCUAAAGUUAAUUGGGAGCCUCAAUAUGAGAAGGAGAGGAAAUCCGAUGCAACAAAAUCUAUCAGGAUGGACGCAAGAAAUAUGGCACCUAAUGUACUGGAUGGCAUAAUACUUGAUGAAACCGCGGGGCCGAUAAGUAUACCGCUGGCAAUUCUACAACAGAUAACAGAUAAUUUUAACGAUAGCCUAAAAAUCGGUCAAGGUGGUUUCGGAGUCGUGUAUAAGGGUUUUAUUCAAAGUGGGUGUGUUGCUGUCAAGAAGCUUUUGAACAGCCACACAAUCAAAGAUGGGCCAUUUUAUCGUGAGACGAGUAUUCUGAUGAGUGUCAACCAUCCAAAUAUAGUGCGCUUUUUGGGAUACUGCUCUAACACAGAGAAUACAGCGGUUAAAUUGGAUGGACCAGGAAUACGUGAGAAGUACAUUUAUGCCGAGAAUAGAGAAAGAUUGCUAUGUUUCGAGUAUAUCAGUAAAGGAGGUCUUGACAAGCAUGUCACUGAUGAAUUAAGGGGACUUGAAUGGCAUACACGCUACCGAAUUAUUAAAGGGAUUUGUGAAGGUUUGCGGUACCUACACAAGGAAAAGAAUAUUAUUCAUAUGGAUCUUAAACCAGCCAAUAUACUGCUGGAUGAUCUUCUUAUACCAAAAAUUACUGAUUUUGGUAUCUCCAAACAACUUGAGGAAAAAUCACAUGCUAUUACUAUGGCACGUUUUGGGUCAAUGGGAUAUUGCGCUCCUGAAUACUUAUACCAUGGCAUAGUGUCAUUCAAAGGAGACAUAUUUAGUUUGGGAACUAUAAUUAUGGAUCUCGUGAGUGGGCGUAAGGAAAAGCCUAACAUAAAAAAUAUACUUAGAAGAUGGAGGUACAGGUGGAAUAAAUCAGGCAAGUAUCCACCACUGGGAUCAGAGCAAGUAACCAAAUGCAUUGAAAUUGCUGCACUCUGCAUGUCAUACGACGUGAAAAAGAGACCUGAUAUAUUGGAUGUAAUCAGUUCUCUUAAUGAAAUGGAAACUACGACUGAGCAUAUCGGGCAGGCUGGUGAAUCGUCAGUUGGCCAGGUGACAAGCCCUUACGACUGGGAGCUGCUUGGUAUUGACCCGCUCGAGCUGCAUUUUCCCUUCGAGAUAAACAAGCACAUAUCGUGUUCACUUGAGCUAAGCAACGCGAGAGAAGACUGCGUCGCCUUCCACAUCGAACCGCCAAGCACACGGCACUACCGGAUAGAGCCCAACAGAGGCAUUGUACCACCUCAAUCCAGGACAAAUGUCAUAGUAACAUUGGAAGCACAGGAGAAGGCGCCACAUGAUAUGCGUUGCCAGGAUGAGUUCGUCGUGAGGUGCACCAUUGUGAACGAGGGUCUCACGCCUGAGAAUGUCAGCCAAGACAUGUUCGAUGAAAAGUCGACAGGCCUGGUCGAUGAGGCGACUUUGACGGUUGCCUUUUGA